rnacentral:tRNA from 1 species
GCGAGAUAUAGCUUAAUGGUAAAGCACCUGUCUUCCAAACAGGGGAUGCAGUUCGAUUCUGAUAUUUCGCU